GCCGGGCAUGGUGGCGGGUGCCUGUAAUCCCAGCUACUGGGGAGGCUGAGGCAGGAGAAUCGCUUGAACCCAGGAGGCGGAGGUUGCAGUGAGCCGAGAUUGCGCCACUGCACUCCAGCCUGGGAGACAGAGUGAGACUCUGUUUCAA
rfam:Gorilla gorilla gorilla genomic chromosome, chrX, whole genome shotgun sequence